AAUAGAUACCCAGGUAGUCCACACCGUAAACGUUGGGCGCUAGGUGUGGGGUCCUUUCCACGGAUUCCGUGCCGUAGCUAACGCAUUAAGCGCCCCGCCUGGGGAGUACGGCCGCAAGGCUAAAACUCAAAGGAAUUGACGGGGGCCCGCGACAAGCGGCGGAGCAUGCGGAUUAAUUCGAUGCAACGCGAAGAACCUUACCUGGGUUUGACAUACACCGGAAGCCCCCAGAGAUGGGGGUCUCUUUGAUACGUGGUGUACAGGUGGUGCAUGGCUGUCGUCAGCUCGUGUCGUGAGAUGUUGGGUUAAGUCCCGCAACGAGCGCAACCCUCGUUCCAUGUUGCCAGCGGAUUAUGCCGGGGACUCAUGGGAGACUGCCGGGGUCAACUCGGAGGAAGGUGGGGAUGGACGUCGAAGUCAUCAUGCCCCUUAUGUCCGAGGGCUUCACGCAUGCUACAAUGGCCGGUACAAAGGGCUGCGAUCCCGUGAGGGGGAGCGAAUCCCAAAAAGCCGGUCUCAGUUCGGAUUGGGGUCUGCAACUCGACCCCAUGAAC
rnacentral:rRNA from 1 species